GGCAGCAGUGAGGAAUAUUGGUCAAUGGACGCAAGUCUGAACCAGUCAUGCCGCGUGAAGGAUGAAGGCGUUCUGCGUUGUAAACCUCUUUUAUUGGGGAAGAAACCUGAGUAUUCUUAUUCAGCCGACGGUACCCAAGGAAUAAGCACCGGCUAACUCCGUGCCAGCAGCCGCGGUAAUACGGAGGGUGCAAGCGUUAUCCGGAUUUACUGGGUUUAAAGGGUGUGUAGGCGGACUUUUAAGUCAGGGGUGAAAUCCCGAGGCUCAACCUCGGAACUGCCUUUGAUACUAUUGGUCUUGAAUCUUGUUGAGGUGGGCGGAACGGGUCAUGUAGCGGUGAAAUGCAUAGAUAUGGCCCGGAACACCGAUUGCGAAGGCAGCCCGCUAAGCAAGCAUUGACGCUGAGGCACGAGAGCGUGGGGAUCAAACAGGAUUAGAUACCCUGGUAGUCCACGCCCUAAACGAUGAUUACUCGACGUUGGCGAUACACUGAUCAGCGCCCAAGCGAAAGCAUUAAGUAAUCCACCUGGGAAGUACGUUCGCAAGAAUGAAACUCAAAGGAAU
rnacentral:rRNA from 1 species